AUGUUUGGAGAGCUCUGCCUUAAAGGCUAAGUUCUGAAGAAAUGCUUAUGGAACUGGUGAUGUUUAGCUCGAGGAGAAGACAGUUUGGUGAUCAUUAUUUUAUAAAUUUAUUGAUCCCAGUGAACACUGGGGACACCUCAGUAUAAGCACAUUGAAUGAAAAGUAAUGCCCCCCGCAUAACUUUACUUUAAAUAUGGAAGGUUGAAUAAAUGACCCAGGGAAAUAAUGACUGAAACUAAUUCUUUCAUUACUUGUAUGUAAUUGACUAGCACCAUUCGCUAUGCAUGUCUGCCAAUGACAGGCAGACUUCUUAAAGUCACCACAAACAAACUCUACAGUUUGUCUCUUCAGUCAGAUCCUUCCUUUUCCCCCCUCAUCUCAUUAUUUGAGGUGCUUACAGUGGUAUUCCUUCACUUUGGGGAGAAAGGUCUCAGAAUAGCAGAGUUGGAAGGGACCUUUAGGUUAUCUAGCCCAACCCCACGCCCAAGCAGGAGACCCUACGUCAUUUCUGACAGAUGGCAGUCCAGUCUCUUCUUGAAAGCCUCCAGUGAUGAAGCUCCCACAACUUCCGAAGGCAACUUCUGUUCCAUGGGUUGAUUUUUCUCACUGUCAGAAAAUUCCUCAUUUCUAGGUUGAAUCUCUCCUUGAUCAGUUUCCAUCCAUUAUUCCUUGUCUGGCCUUCAGGGGCUUUGGAAAAUAGCUUGACCCCCUUCCUCCUCUCUGUGCAGCCCCUCAAAUAUGGAAGGCUGCUAUCAUCUCCCCUGCUCCUUCUCUUACAGGAUGCCAGAUUCGGGCCUAUAUAAUAUUUGGGAGAAGAUUAUGAGAUCCAAUUUCACAAUUGUCUCUUGGAUAGCUGAUGAGGUGAAGCUUUGUGGAUGCUACUCCAUGGAACAAUUCUUCAAUUCUGACUUACAACAAUGAUCCUAUGUUUAGUUGGCUGUCGCACGUGCUGAAGAAAUUCCUCAGCUUCCUUCCAAUAGCAUGACAAUAAUUGCUGGCCAGCUUCAACUCUUGAAGUUUUCACCUCUGCCAUUAGCAUGCAAGGAAGCCCUCUUCCAUAAACCUUCCAAGAUUGGAGAACAUCAAUAAUGUAAA